CCACCUCCCGGUCUCAAGCAAUUCUCCAGCCUCAGCCUCCCCAGUAGCUGGGAUUACAGUGCUGAAUCAUAUUCCAGUAUUGGGAUGCACCGCAGUGUAUUUAUCCAUUCACCUACUGAAGACAUCUGAGUUGCUUCCACGUUUCUGCAAUGAUGAAAAAAGCUGUUAUAAGCAUCCACGUGCGCCGGGUAAAUGCCACAGAGCAUGAGUGCUGGGUCUCAUGGGUUACUGGAACCUCUUCAAGGCUUCGUGUGCUCCAGUGGACUGUUACGGGCACUUCCUUUUUGAUGUGCAAGACAUCACUUUGGCCAGUGGGGGUUCUUUGUUUUAUUUAGCAAGAUCUCACAUAUUUUGAAAAACAUUCUCUGGCAACCACAAGAUGUGCUGGACCCGUCUUGAUUUUCCCCAUUUUCACCGUGGAGGCAACGACUUUCCAAGGAUUUUUGGCCACUGUUUGUGGAAUGGAGAAUUGGAGGUUGAAAUCCAGGGCUCUCUCUCCGAGGGCCUUGGGCUUCCCUCUGAGUCCAGGCUGCACACAGGUAACGAGGGAAGCAGGGGCUGCCCGUGCUCCGGUGACAGAAUCAGAAACCCUUUUAGAGUGUGUGAACUCACACUGAUGUUCUCACUCAACUCCAACUUUACUAAGCCAUUCUUUAUUUUGUUCUAACACUAAAAUAUGUUUUAAAAUGGUAAAUUGUAUCCCUUUUGAACACAAAGAUUUUUUUUAAAAUAAAA